GAGCUAGAUAAACCACUGUUACCCCUAGAGGUGAACAAUGAGAGCUAGAUAAACCACCAUUACCCCUAGAGGUGAACAAUGAGAGCUAGAUAAACCACCAUUACCCCUAGAGGUGAACAAUGAGAGCUAGAUAAACCACCGUUACCCCUAGAGGUGAACAAUGAGAGCUAGAUAAACCACCGUUACCCCUAGAGGUGAACAAUGAGCUAGAUAAACCACCG